rnacentral:rRNA from 1 species
CACGUAGGGCGCAAGCGUUGUCCGGAAUUAUUGGGCGUAAAGAGCUCGUAGGUGGUUUGCUGCGUCCGCUGUGAAAACCCAAGGCUUAACCUUGGGCUUGCAGUGGAUACGGGCAGACUAGAGGUAGGUAGGGGAGAAUGGAAUUCCCGGUGUAGCGGUGAAAUGCGCAGAUAUCGGGAGGAACACCGGUGGCGAAGGCGGUUCUCUGGGCCUUACCUGACACUGAGGAGCGAAAAGCGUGGGGAGCGAACAGA